ACCUGAGUGGCUCAGCGGUUGAGCGCCUGCCUUCGGCUCAGGGCGUGAUCCUGGAGUCCCAGGAUCAAGUCCUGCAUCAGGUU
rnacentral:tRNA from 1 species